rnacentral:rRNA from 1 species
UGGGGAAUAUUGCACAAUGGGCUCAAGCCUGAUGCAGCCAUGCCGCGUGUAUGAAGAAGGCCUUCGGGUUGUAAAGUACUUUCAGUCGGGAGGAAGGUGGUAAGGUUAAUAACCUUAUCAAUUGACGUUACCGACAGAAGAAGCACCGUCUAACUCCGUGCCAGCAGCCGCGGUAAUACGGAGGGUGCAAGCGUUAAUCGGAAUUACUGGGCGUAAAGCGCACGCAGGCGGUCUGUCAAGUCGGAUGUGAAAUCCCCGGGCUCAACCUGGGAACUGCAUUCGAAACUGGCAGGCUAGAGUCUUGUAGAGGGGGGUAGAAUUCCAGGUGUAGCGGUGAACUGCGUAGAGAUCUGGAGGAAUACCGGUGGCGAAGGCGGCCCCCUGGACAAAGACUGACGCUCAGGUGCGAAAGCGUGGGGAGCAAACAGG